AGAAAAUAGAUACCCUGGUAGUCCACGCCGUAAACGAUGAGAACUAGACGUUGGGAGGCUUGUCCUCUUAGUGUCGAAAGCUAAACGCGUUAAGUUCUCCGCCUGGGGAGUACGGCCGCAAGGUUAAAACUCAAAGGAAUUGACGGGGCCCGCACAAGCGGUGGAGCAUGUGGUUUAAUUCGAUGCAACGCGAAAAAACCUUAACCUACCCUUGACAUCCUAGGAAUCUUUCAGAGAUGAGAGAGUGCCUUCGGGUAACCGUAACGAGACAGGUGAUGCAUGGCUGUCGUCAGCUCGUGUCGUGAGAUGUUGGGUUAACGUCCCGUAACCGAGCGCAACCCUCGUCCUUAGUUGCUACCAGUUCGGCUGAGCACUCUAGGGAGACCGCCGGUGAUAAACCGGAGGAAGGCGGGGUAUGACGUCAAGUCAUCAUGUCCCGUUAC
rnacentral:rRNA from 1 species